rnacentral:ncRNA from 3 species
UGUAAGCCCUGGUGAAUGUCGGCGAUAACUAUGAAUGAUUGUAGUUAUAAAAUUUGGCUAUAUGCUGGAAACUCUGCGCAUGUUGAAGUACCGAAAGGUAACAAUCUUCAAACGAUGCAGAUAAUCAGCAGGGAAGACUCAUGGAAAUGAGAACCCUCAGAGACUACACGCCAAACUCGCCUCUCUUAAUUGGGACAAGCGAGAUGAUAUAGUCCGGCCUCUAUGGCGACAUAGAG